GCAAACUUGGUCAUUUAGAGGAAGUAAAAGUCGUAACAAGGUUUCCGUAGGUGAACCUGCGGAAGGAUCAUUAAAGAGUACCGGAGCUCUCGGGCUCCUACUCCCACCCUAUGUUGACUUUAAAUGUUGCUUUGGCGGACCUGCAAUCUUGCCACCGGCCUAGGCUGGAUAGUGUCCGCCGGAGGAUUUUUGAAUUCCCUUGACGGUGAACUCUGAAGUUAUCGAAAAUUGAAUCAAAACUUUCAACAACGGAUCUCUUGGUUCUGGCAUCGAUGAAGAACGCAGC
rnacentral:misc_RNA from 1 species